GAUGAACGCUAGCGGCAGGCUUAAUACAUGCAAGUCAAGGGGGUAGCAAUACAGCCGGCGCACGGGUGAGUAACGCGUACACAACAUACCAUAUACUGGAGUAUAGCUUUGGGAAACUGAAGGUAAUCCUCCAUAACAUUGCGAGAGGGCAUCUGAUUGCAAUUAAAGUUUCGGCGGUAUAUGAUUGGUGUGCGUUUGAUUAGCUAGUUGGUAGGGUAACGGCCUACCAAGGCGACGAUCAAUAGCUGGCGUGAGAGCGCGACCAGCCACACUGGAACUGAGACACGGUCCAGACUCCUACGGGAGGCAGCAGUAGGGAAUAUUGGACAAUGGAGGAAACUCUGAUCCAGCCAUGCCGCGUGAUAGAUGAAGGCCCUCUGGGUUGUAAAUAUCUUUUAUCUGGGAAGAAACACUCCUAUUCUUAGGAACUUGACGGUACCAGAGGAAUAAGCACCGGCUAACUCCGUGCCAGCAG
rnacentral:rRNA from 1 species